rnacentral:snRNA from 1 species
GUUGCUUCUAGGCCUUUUGGUUAAGAUCAAGUGUAGUAUUUGUUCUUAUCAGAAAUAGGCACUAGUUCAAAUUUAUCUGCCUUGUGAAUGAUAUAUAUGUGUGUAUAUUUAUAUAUAUUUACAAAAGCUAGUCUCUGAAUACUUUUUCCAGAGACAUUUAAUCCCU